rnacentral:misc_RNA from 1 species
GUAUUUAUUUUUGUCUAUAUUUUUUAGGAAGUAUAGCAAAAGAUAUGGGGUUUCCCUCGCAAGGGGGUACUCUGAAAUAGAUUGCCUCUGUUUUGAUAGACUCGACGAAGUUUUUCAAUCCUGCAGAAAAGUAUUUGAAUGGAACUGUGGUUUCUCGAUAUGCUGAAUAUGUGGGGGAAAGAUGGAGAAUCUAUUGGGCAGAUGUCCAUACCCUAUAAGGCGGUCUUAGGAUCGGCUUGAA